rnacentral:rRNA from 1 species
UACGGGGGGGGCAAGCGUUGUUCGGAAUUACUGGGCGUGAAGGGCUCGUAGGCGGCCAACUAAGUCAGACGUGAAAUCCCUCGGCUUAACCGGGGAACUGCGUCUGAUACUGGAUGGCUUGAGUUUGGGAGAGGGAUGCGGAAUUCCAGGUGUAGCGGUGAAAUGCGUAGAUAUCUGGAGGAACACCGGUGGCGAAGGCGGCAUCCUGGACCAACACUGACGCUGAGGAGCGAAAGCCAGGGGAGCAAACGGG